rnacentral:lncRNA from 1 species
CAGCAACUGGAGCUCCUGGGAGGUAGAAGGACCAAGAAGGAGGAAAUUGGGCUGCAGGAUCACUCAGGCCUCAAAUGAACCCUACCUCCCUGCUGUGGGGUUCCACUAAGUUAGAAAGGAUAGACAAAGGGGCAGAAAUGGUGAAACAAAGAUGAAUGGCAACAGUGGUCAAAAGACCAGGCCAGUGCUUCAGGCACCAAUUCUGUAGGAAAGGACAGAAACCAGGAGAAAGCAAGUGGCCACAAUGGCUUCUGUCAUGCCAAUGCCUGGGUGGGCUUGCCUGAUGUUCACAGCUGCCAAAGGAGCCAGGACCCAGAGGUCUAAGGUACAGCCUCUUUCUGAGGGCUUGUUCGGUGCCAGCUCCGAAAGUGACCAGAAGUAUCACUGUAGGACGAGACCAACCACUCUGCACCUCCGUAUCCACCUGCUCAGUGAGCAAAAGCAAUUCAUGGAAUGGUUCGGGGGAGAGAAUACACCAGGAGGGCCAGCACAGGGCAGCACCUGCACAAAGAAUUUGGCUGACAUCUAAGUGGAAUCAAGAGGCAGCUGGACUACAGACAGUCUCUCCCUGGCAAGUCUUAGACUUUCAUUCCUCCCGCCUCCAUCUCUCAAGUCCCAGGACAGAAGAUUUGCACAAGUCAACCUUUCAAUACUGAAGUAGCAUUGGCACAGCAAUACCUGUGUCACAGUCAAUUGCGUGUCUUCAAAGAAUCUGGGGGCAAGGAGCAGGUGUAAAAGGUAAAAAGAGACUUUCGUAAGUUACGUUGAUGCAAUGAUCCUUGGCCACAGAAUCAGUAGCAACGGUGGCUACUGUCCAAGGUUAAACACAACGCUGGGCAGAUGUUUUCUGUGUGAGGCUGCUGUAGUCUGAGUGGGACGGUGGCUGUGACAGCCUUUUGUCAAUAGUUUUUCUAAUUAAUCAUUUGUGAAAUGUUUCUUUCUUGAUUUCACUUUAGUAUCUUGUAAUACUUGACAAAAGCAAUUACACUUUCAUUCAUUCUUCUUUUUUUUUCUUUCAGAACCAGAGUCUCACAUAACCUAAGCUGGACUUGAACUUCUGAUCCUUCUGCCUCCACCUCCUAGCUGCUGAGAUUAUAGGUGUGUACUACCUUGGCAAGACUAUAUUAAUGCUGCCAAGAAUAAAACCCAGGGCCUCGAACAUGCUCCGAAAGCACUCUACAACUGAGCCACAUCCCCAGCUCUCCAUUUUGAUUUUGACAACUGCCACAAAAGUCCUUGAACAGGCCUGGUGGCACUCAUCUGUAAUCCUAACACUAGGUAGGCCACAGCAGGAAAGAUCUCAUGUUUGGGACCUGACUGGGCUACAGAAUGGGUUCAAAGCUAGCCUGGGUAGUGUAAUGAGACCCAUAUUCAAAUUUAAAAACAUGCUUGAACAUGUUAUUGUCAUUUGUGUAAGUUUAAAUGAAGGAGGAAUUCUUAGCAGUGGAACUGCUGGGUCAAAGUGAAUGAGCUUUGAAAAUGUUCAUGCAUGAAACCCUAGGUUUGAUCUUAGCAAUCAAAUGACAUCUUUGACACACAGUGUCAUAUGGUUUUUCUUUGGUUUGUUUUUUGUGUUUUGUUUUCUGAGACAGGAUCUCUCUGUGUAGCCCUGGCUAUCCUGUAGACCAGGCUAGCCUCAAACUCAGAGAUCCUCCUGCCUCUGCCUCCUGAGUGCUGGGAUUAAAGGCGUGCACCAUCAUUGCCUGGCAUUAUAUGCAUUCUUUAAAGCUUUGUGUUUCCAUUUUCAAAGUGUUAGGAAGAUGCACAUAGUAAUUAUCACCAUAAAUGUGUGUGUACUCUUGUGUGUGGGUGCAUACGAAGAGGUAAACACAGAGGGGUGCACAUAGAGGAGAACACACGGAGGUGUGAACAUGGAGGGGUACACGUGGAGGGGUGUACUUAAAGGUUAGAGAUCAAAUUAGGGUGUCACAGGAGCCAUCUAUCUUUUUGUUUUGAUUUUUUUUUUUUGAGUCCCAGGCUGUCCUAGAACUCUCUCUGUAAACCAGGUUGGCCUUAAACUCACAGAAAUCUGCCUGCCUCUGCUUCCCGAGUGCUGGGAUUAUCAACACACAUCACCGUGAUUAGUCCCAUCUUGUCUCUUGCUGGGACCUGGGGCUUGCUGGUGUGACUAGGCUGACUGGCCAGAGACCCCCAGGGGUCCUGGUACACUAAGCCUGUGGGUACUGGGAGCAAGCGGGGGUCCUCAUGCUUUCCCAGAAAGAACACCACUGGUUGAGCUUUCUUUCCAACCCUUAUUCCCUGCCCCUCCCCCUUCUGGCUUCUGUCAGCCUGUAUGGCCCAAGUGAUCUUAUCACCUCACCUUCUCAUAUAGUUGGGGCUGUUAGAGCACACCACUGGCCCCAGUCAUGUCUUAAUCACUUUUUAAAAAGUAAUUUAGUUGGGGGCUGGAGAGAUGGCUCAGUGGUUAAGAGCACUGCUUGUUCUUCCAAAGGUCCGGAGUUCAAUUCCCAGCAACCACAUGGUGGCUCACAGUCAUCUGUAAUGAGAUCUGGUGCCCUCCUCUGGCCUGCAGGCAUACAUGCAGACAGAACACUGUACACAUAAUAAAUAAAUAAAUUUUAAAAAAUAAUUUAAUUAUUUAUAUGUAUUUUGUGUACAUUGCUAUUUUGCUUGCAUGUAUGUCUGUGGGGGUGUCAAAUACCCUGGAACUAGAGUUAGGGACAUUUGUGAGUCACUACCCUGUGGGUCCUGGGAAUUGAACCCAGAUCCUAUGGAAGAGCAGCCAGUGCUCUUAACCUCUGAGCCAUCUCUCCAGCUCCCCCCCAACUUUUAAAAAAUUUAACAAUAUAAUGCAUUUUUUUGUUUGUUUUUCAAAGGCAUGUGCCACCAAUGCCUGUUACCCGCCCCUCACCUGUUUUUAAAAAGUCAGGGUCUC